AUUGAACGCUGGCGGCAUGCCUAACACAUGCAAGUCGAACGGCAGCACAGCAGUAGCAAUACUGUGGGUGGCGAGUGGCGGACGGGUGAGGAAUACGUCGGAAUCUGCCCAGUCGUGGGGGAUAACUAGCCGAAAGGUUAGCUAAUACCGCAUACGACCGAGAGGUGAAAGCGGGGGACCGCAAGGCCUCGCGCGAUUGGAUGAGCCGACGUCGGAUUAGCUAGUUGGCGGGUAAAGGCCCACCAAGGCGACGAUCCGUAGCUGGUCUGAGAGGAUGAUCAGCCACACUGGAACUGAGACACGGUCCAGACUCCUACGGGAGGCAGCAGUGGGGAAUAUUGGACAAUGGGCGCAAGCCUGAUCCAGCAAUGCCGCGUGUGCGAAGAAGGCC
rnacentral:rRNA from 1 species